UCCUCCUGCCUCUCUGCCUCCUGAGGGGGUUAAAGGCGUGCACCACCGCUGCUAGGCUUGGAAAUGUUUUUUCUGUCUUUACAGCCCAUCAACCUAGUUCAUACCUCAGGCCUUGAUGCCUCCAGUGGUCCAUGGAUCCCUUCUUAGUUUGAGUCUUAGGGUCCUGCCCCUCCCAUGUGUGACUUAGGGAAGCCCGGGACUUGUGGGUCUCUCCUGGGACACACACACUCACAGGACCCCUUUCACAGCUCCUCAGCUUCCCUCUGAGGCUAAGCUGUCAUUUUUGCUGUGUAGUUAUGAACCCCAGUUCUGCCUGAGACCAGAGAGUCCCUCUCUGUUCCUCUGUCCCUCUGCUCUCCUGUCUCUCUGUUCUGCUUUACCUUGUAGAUUGUUGUUUUGUUUCCCAGGCCUGUAUGGGUGAAUGCUGCCGUAAGGAGUGCACUCCACACGGGAUGCUUUGAGACAGGAGAAAAAUAGCCCAGAGAGGAUCCACUCCACCUCAGAUUUAAAGCCAGCCCAUCUGUCUGUCUUUCUUGAUUGGUGCUGUGUGUGUGUGCUCCUGUUUCGUUUGCAUGCACUCAUCUGUAAGAAGCCAGAAGAGGGUGUUUGAUCCCUUUGUGGGACUCCUGGCUUAUUACUGGGGUGCUGGGGUCUGAACUCUGGGCCUUAAUUGAACAGCAGACUCUCUUACCCUUCCAGCCCAGAGCUGACACUUAUUCUAUGUGGCUUCAGAUCCCGUGCAUCAUCCACUGCGGUCUGUGUCAGCCUUUCUGGCUGAGAGCUGUCUAAACUGGAAUGAAAGUGUGUCUGCCCUCUUCACACAGCCCGGGAAAGCCACAGUGGCUGAGACUGGGGACUCCCCAGUGAGCCCAAUGCACCACCUCUGAGGCUGUCUGGGGUAACGCACCCUCCUGUGUAGACAAAUGGGUGUUUCCUAUGGAUGCCUUCAGACUUCCAGCUAAGCCGUGGGGGCUCACACCUGUCAUCCCAACAGAAGGCUAAGGUGGACAGAGGAUUGUCACACCUGUGAGGCUAGCCUGCAUCCAGACUGUCUGCUCUGAAGAGAUUACCCAGUGCUUAGCAGAACCGACUGUUCUUCUACAGGAUUUAAGGGUCUCACCGUGCAGCCACAGAAUUCAUAGAAACCCACCUGCCCCUGCCAUCAGAAUGCACCCCAUAGCAGCCCGACCCACACGGUUCACAAACUGAUCCUUCAAAUCAUGACCAUCUCCUCCGUGUGUGUCAGAGACUGAAGUUGACGCUGAUCUUCCGGCACGAGUCCUCAGCAGCACAUAACCGUGGUCCGUGCACCUGCAACCCCGCUCUGCAGAGCAGACAGGACCCAAGGCACUGGCCAGACAGCUAUCCAAAACGGGAAGCUUCCAGUUCAGUGAGACAUUGUGUCUCAAGGCAGUGGGGCUGAAAGCAGUCGAGGAAAGACACCCGAUGCCCUGCCCUGGCCCCUGUGGUGGUUUGAAUGAGAAAUGUCCCCCAUGGGCUCUGAUAUUUGGACACUUGGUCCCAGGUUGGUGGCUUUCUCCAGGGGCAGGUCCUUCUCCAGGGGCGGGGCCUUCUUCAGGAGGCGGGGCCUUCUUCAGGAGGCGGGGCCUUACUGGAGAAAGACCAUCGCAGGAGGUUGGCAUUGAGAUCUUAUACUCUUGCCGCACUUCCUGCUUACUUUCUCUGCUUUCUGAGGUGAAGAGGUGAUCUCUCAGGUUUUCUGGUCCUGUAGCUGUGCCUUCCUCACCAUUAUGAACUCUUCUUCUACCGGAAGCCCAAAUACACCUUCCUUCUGUAAGUUGCUUUGGUCAUGGUGUUUCAUCACAAUAACAAAGUCACUGAUAUGCCCCUCAUAUGUGCCCCCCCACACAAAGGAAAACAAACUUAACAAAACUAAUACCCUGAAAAGAUAAGACUUUGUUGAGAGAAAAGACCCAAGUAAAGGACAGCAGCGGCCGAGCUCCUGGAUCUGAAGACUCCCACAUGCUUGAGGGACAGCCCUCUAGUGCUGUGGGAUGUUCUGUAUGUCCUGUGGGAGCCCUUCUUGGGUUACCCUUGUGGCGUUACCCAGCAGGUCCGCAUAGAGGAUGAUUAGGACCAUGGGCCUGAGUGCAGGUGU